UCGCAUUUUACCCUAAAUCUUCAGAGGAAGUAAGAGCCAGGCCCACAGCUGGAUGGGAACAGAGCCAGGAAAAGAAGACGCUCCUUUGUAUUUCCCGUUCUCUGAUUGAUUUGGCGACCGUUUGCUGAAGCCGAGUGCGGUGCCGUGACCGACUGGCGGUCCCAGAGAAGUGGGAUACAGCUGCCGCCUUGGCAGGGCUCACGUCGAGGAGGGACACUCCUGAACGCGAGUGCUUACUGUCCUGGACCGUGGAGCCACCCGAGGAUCGUGUCCGGCCCGAUGCCUGGAUCUCUGACCCAGUGCUUCUCGAAUGCAAAGGAAAGAGGAUCAAGAGAGUGAAGGCCAGCUAGCAAGUGUGGACAGACCACAGCCGGCUAGAGGGACCAGUGCGCUCUCGGGAGGGCGAGGCGAGAUGUGCCAUCUGCUAAGUGAACUGAGUAACGACACUUACGUGGGGCACUCGGGUCCCAUCCGAGUAUGGCUGUAGAGUGUGCCCAAGAAACACAGAGGCUAGGGAAACACGGCCAGUACUCUGAUCAUUUUCCACAUGCCAGCCACUGUGCUCUGGAGAUGGUUACCAUCCAGGAGUUCUGAAAUGUAUGCAGUGUGCACAAAAGCCAAGGGUUUAAACUCCUCUCCCCCAUUCCUGUGGCCACCCCCAUGGUCCGUCCAUUGGUUAAAGCUGAUUGUGACCCGACCGAGGUGCCAGGGCACUACCGGGGUGGCUGCUGGAGGCCCGAGGACUCAGAUAGGCUGCUGACCCUUCGGGGAGGGCGUGAGGGCUGAGGCGGCGGGGGGUAGCCCAGGGUCCCUGGCUGUUGCGAGUAGGUGGAGAGAAGUAGCGAGUCCCGCUGCUCACUGUGCAGAGAGGUUGGCGCCUGUACCUGGAAAGAAAGGACAAAGGGCUAGAGGACUCACCUCUGUGACUGGGAGAGUGGUGCUGUCUUGUGGUGGCGGGACCUUGGGAGGAAGGUAGGUGGGGAAGAAGGAGCCAGAUGGCUAUGAAUUCGGAGGCAAGCUCUCUGCUAGCAGUAGGGGUUCCUUUGGGCCAGUGGGCCAGGGACCAGGCUUUGGGGCAUGGUUUCCCGAACAGGUGAACAUGAGGUAUAUUUUGGGAUGUUGGGACCUGAGACCACAUGCAGACUGACAGGGCAGAAACCAAACACACAUGCAGUCUGCAUACUUUUCACCACGGUCCCUGAUUCUGUAACCACUCCCAAAUGCAGCCAUUCGCCAGCGUCCUAAUUUGAAGCUCAGAAACUUCAACUGGUCAAACCUGAACUUUGGAACCUUCAGUCCCAUCCCCCACUAUUCGCAUCCAUGAAAUCUCCCCGGUCCAAACCACCCAGUGCACCCCAGGCACAGCGGCCCCUCCACUUUGGCUCAGGCUGUCUCUUGUUGGAACACUGUCCCUUCCUCUCCAUUCGCUUCAUCUGCGCAUUGGCGCUGCAGGAGGGCCCCCGGGGCCUUCCUCCACGAAGGCCUCCAGCCACAGUGCUCUUACUGGCACAGAUCCAGAGCCUGGGUGCUCUCUGGGAGAUUCUCCUCUCCCCACACUGCACCAUGAGGUCCCUGGAGGCCAGCGAGAAGGCCCAAAUUCUCAGUGUCUUCUUAGCCCCAUGUCUUGGAGGAACAGGUCCCCAUCAACAUGUUUGCUGCCAGGGCUGAAGAAAGACGCGGGAGGCCCCUAACGCUGCCCAGACCAUCCCUGCCUUCUCACUUCACCUGUGCCCAUCUGCAAUCACUUGUGUCCUGCAAAAUGACAUGAUAUGCAAAGCUCAAGUCUUGAGUUGCCUGCCCCUAUGCUUGAGGCCAGUGAACUUUGAAAAGUAUAUCACAGAUGGGUUAACAUCUUUGGAAUUAAAUUGCAUUCAAGACCAUCAAGGAGGACACUCUUCAUCUUUAUCCCACUGUCCUUAAAAUGUCUCAGUCCCAACACUCUCCUCUGGCUUUGGAGAUGCCCAAGCCGGGAGGCAGAGAAGGGAAAGCCCUGCCCUGCUCUGUGGUGGGGACUGGAGGUCAGGGAGGAUGUGCAAAGGACGGGGGCAGGGCUGGGGCAGGAAGGAGGGCUCCAGGCAUAUGUCAGACGAAAGGCUGGAGCCGCCGCAGACACUUCUGGUCCCAUCUGAACACCAACCACUGACUCUCACCCUCCCUCUUUCCGGUGUGUUUGGCACUUGCUUAAAGUAAACAGUGACCACACGUAAAAGUGCCCCACAUUUUCCUGGAAAGCCCCAACUUUGUACCACAUUAUUGUAUUUAUCAAGCAAGUUCAAUGAAUAUUUACCUAAAUGUGA